rnacentral:rRNA from 1 species
UNUNUCCAAUAGCGGAGGAAAAGAAACCAACAGGGAUUGCCUUAGUAGCGGCGAGUGAAGCGGCAAAAGCUCAAAUUUGAAAUCUGGCUCUUUCAGAGUCCGAGUUGUAAUUUGAAGAAGGUAUCUUUGGGUCUGGCUCUUGUCUAUGUUUCUUGGAACAGAACGUCACAGAGGGUGAGAAUCCCGUGCGAUGAGAUGAUCCAGGCCUAUGUAAAGUUCCUUCGAAGAGUCGAGUUGUUUGGGAAUGCAGCUCUAAGUGGGUGGUAAAUUCCAUCUAAAGCUAAAUAUUGGCGAGAGACCGAUAGCGAACAAGUACAGUGAUGGAAAGAUGAAAAGAACUUUGAAAAGAGAGUGAAAAAGUACGUGAAAUUGUUGAAAGGGAAGGGCUUGAGAUCAGACUUGGUAUUUUGUAUGUUACUUCUUCGGGGGUGGCCUCUACAGUUUAUCGGGCCAGCAUCAGUUUGGGCGGUAGGAGAAUUGCGUUGGAAUGUGGCACGGCUUCGGUUGUGUGUUAUAGCCUUCGUCGAUACUGCCAGCCUAGACUGAGGACUGCGGUUUAUACCUAGGAUGUUGGCAUAAUGAUA